rnacentral:rRNA from 1 species
AGCGAACGCUGGCGGCGUGCUUAACACAUGCAAGUCGAGCGAAGGUGUUUCAAGGGUAACCUUGAGAUACACUUAGCGGCGGACGGGUGAGUAAUACGUGGAUAACUUACCUCUAGGCCUGGGAUAACCCCGGGAAACUGGGGCUAAUACCUGAUAAGACCACAUUGUCUACGGACAAAGGGGUAAAAGGUGGCUGUGCAAACAGCUAUCGCCAAAAGAUAGGUUCACGUCCCAUCAGGCAGUGGUGAGGUAAUGGCUCACCAAACCAAAGACGGGUAGCCGGCCUUGGCGGGUGAACGGCCACACGGGGACUGAGACACGGCCCCGACUCCUACGGGAGGCAGCAGUGGGGAAUAUUGGGCAAUGGGCGCAAGCCUGACCCAGCGACGUCGCGUUGGGGAAGAAGGCC